GAUGAAGAACGCAGUGAAAUGCGAUAAGUAGUGUGAAUUGCAGAAUUCAGUGAAUCAUCGAAUCUUUGAACGCACAUUGCGCCCCUUGGUAUUCCAUGGGGCGUGCCUGUUCGAGCGUCAUUUGUACCUUCAAGCUCUGCUUGGUGUUGGGUGUUUGUCUCGCCUCUGCGUGUAGACUCGCCUCAAAACAAUUGGCAGCCGGCGUAUUGAUUUCGGAGCGCAGUACAUCUCGCGCUUUGCACUCAUAACGACGACGUCCAAAAGUACAUUUUUACACUCUUGACCUCGGAUCAGGUAGGGAUACCCGCUGAACUUAAGCAUAUCAAUAAGCGGAGGA
rnacentral:misc_RNA from 1 species